AUGAGUUGAGUUUCUCCGUGCCCGAACCAGACCGACGAAUUCCAUCCAUGUCUUGCGCCGCCGCCGUCUCUCUCCUCUGCCUCGCCGUACCUUCCACACGGAUUUGCGUGAUCUCCCGGUGUGGUACUCAGCCUCUGGGUGGCUCCCCGCGGCAGGGAGGCACGGAACCUCACGCCGCCCAUGUUCCUCUCUCGAUCUCUACCAUCAUGCCACCAGCCCCCUCCCCUCCUCCACCCAACGGCUGCUUUGACCUCUCUUCUCCUCCUCAUGGAUGCCUCGCCUGCGUUGCCUCACCUCUCGCGGCGCCUCCUUGGCUCAUCUGCUAGGCAAACUCCAUAACCCUCUCGGCCCCUCCUUCUCCUGUCCCCUUGGCGCGCACCAAACCCCCACAUGCUUCCCCUAGCGGACCACAUCAGAUUCACCCGGACUUCGAUCGGUGUUUUUCUUUUCUUUUCUUUUCACGCCUUCCUUGAUCUUUGCUACUCGGUGUCGAGCAUCGACGGUCAGCACAACAGAAAGGUCAUACCGGUUUUGAGCUCUCUCAUGUGAAAUGAUUUAUUUGGAUCAAGAUGGUUUUAGACUUUUAGGAGGAAUUCAUAUUUGCAGGGUGAUGGAAUACACUGUCUUGUGCCCAAAGGCUUGCUUUCCAAAUUUCAGCAGCUGAUGUCUGAAGGUCGUGUAUGUUAUCUACAGUUCUUUCAUAUUAGCCCCGCCAAAAGGCAGGCUUGAGAAGUUGAGAUAUUUCAGGUCAAGAUUCAACUGGUCGAUUUGGGUGCAGAACUUUUGAGGUUGAUCAUUCUGUUGAAUGCAUUGCUGAAUGAGGACGUCGAUUUAAGACAGACAAGGAAUCUACUAUGCACCGAACAGCUCUGACUCGGCACAACAGAUACCGCCUCCAACAAGCAAGAACGAAGCCAACGGAAGGAAACACCACCAAACUCAACAUAAUUAAGACACAACGCAAUGGAACAUAAUUAAGACACAACGCAAUGGAAUUGAAACCACGGUGACGCAAAUGACCAUAAUAAUCCACGAAGAAAGAAAAGGGAAGUUGAACCCAGAAUCAAAAAACGGCGCGGCAAAGCGCGCGUCACCUUCUAGUCCACGUACAUGAUAGGUAACAAGGCAAGUCAGUUUGUAAAGGAAAGUGAUCAAAAGAGACAGGAAAAUAAAGAUUGUUACUUUUUUAGUCGGUCACGACCACCAGAAGUUGCCGAUGGUUUGCCUAACGAGCAUCGCUCGUGGAGAUUAUUCUCCUACGGGCUGGGGCCCACCAACAUGCAUGGCAAUUAGAGAUAACGUGCAUGACACAAAUAUUAGAUACAUCAGCUUAGAUUUUUCUGGUUCUAGUUGGUUGGGUACUUUUCUUUCGGGUCAAGUUAGAGGUGCGGCUACUACUAUAAAGCCAAGCCUGCGUGCUUUGUAAUUUUUAGGUUAUAUUUUCUACAGGUUAGACAACAUGUGUAUCAAAUAUUAAGUAGCCCUCUUUGGGUGUCGUUGUUAAUUAUUUUAUGUGAUUUUUCUGCA